AUUGAACGCUGGCGGCAUGCCUUACACAUGCAAGUCGAACGGUAACAGGUCUUCGGAUGCUGACGAGUGGCGAACGGGUGAGUAAUACAUCGGAACGUGCCCGAGAGUGGGGGAUAACGAGGCGAAAGCUUUGCUAAUACCGCAUACGAACGCAGGACGAAAGCAGGGGACCGCAAGGCCUUGCGCUCACGGAGCGGCCGAUGGCAGAUUAGGGAGUUGGUGGGAUAAAAGCUUACCAAGCCGACGAUCUGUAGCUGGUCUGAGAGGACGACCAGCCACACUGGGACUGAGAAACGGCCCAGACUCCUACGGGAGGCAGCAGUGGGGAAUUUUGGACAAUGGGCGCAAGCCUGAUCCAGCCAUGCCGCGUGCAGGAUGAAGGCCUUCGGGUUGUAAACUGCUUUUGUACGGAACGAAAAGACUCCUUCUAAUAAAGGGGGUCCAUGACGGUACCGUAAGAAUAAGCACCGGCUAACUACGAGCCAGCCGCCGCAGUAACAC
rnacentral:rRNA from 1 species